rnacentral:lncRNA from 1 species
GAUCGGGAAUGGUGUGAAUGAAUGGUGUACGACAUUUAAAACUAUGCAAAAUAUUGAUAAGAACUCAUUUUUAAGAUUAUACAUUAAUUUACAAUAUUGUGUUCAAAAUUCGUUUUUUAAAAUAAAUAAAUAAUUUUGUAGUCGCACGCUUUCUUUGAAAUUAAAUUGCAUUAUGGUGUAAUGUGUAAGGUGUAUGGUGCAAAGGUGUAACGUGUAUGGUGUAAUGGCACUGGGUGCAUGGUGUAAU